ACGGGUAAAGUAUAAUGAAACCGUACCAGAGAUUCAACCCUGUGCAGUGUAUAAAUACACGGCACAAUCGCUCCGCCAU
rnacentral:misc_RNA from 1 species